rnacentral:lncRNA from 1 species
GCGGCGGCGGCGGGGCCGGGCCCGGGCCCCCCUCCCCCGGCUGGGUACUGGCGCAGUCCCUGACUCCCUGAAGAGAGAUGAAGAAACCGAGAUUCAGAGGGGUUCAGACACUUGCCCGAGGUCACACAGCUAGUAAGUGUCACAGCUGGGAAUGGAAUUGAGAGUAUGCUUUUGACAUCUCAAGCCUUAAAUCACAGUCCACUGUGAUUUCAAAAUAUUUGGUGGAUAGUGAAGAGCCCAGGCUGGGCCAGGUGUCACCUUUCUUAUUUCGAGAUCAUGAGAAGUCAAGAAGCUCCUAGAAAGGGGGCAAAGGUGGGGGUAGAGCACUCAUGGGAGG